CGUGUUGGUGAAAUGGCUACUUGUGCUGCGUGCACAGCGUGCCUCACAUGUCUGUUCUGUUCGUGCUGUCAGGGUUUAAUGGGAGCAGCAAUGGGUCAAGGGAUGGACCAUGAAGGUGAAGACGAAGGUCCAGCGGGAUCUGCGAACGUUUCGCCACCAGCUCAACACGAUGAUUUAUAAUAAUGAGUAACUGGAUGAAGAUUAAUACCAAUAAUCUAUGGGAGAUGGUCCCGCAGCCUGAAUUAAAUACAGUCUAAAAUAUGGGUCAUGUUUAUCUAGCGACAAACGAUACAGAUUAAAUAUAUUUUUAAGCUUUGAAGGUUACUAUCGACUCUUUUAAUUACCUGAGGACUUAUUGCGAUUAUUGUUAUAUAAUAUAUUUCGAGCUUCGAUUUAGAUGACAUUGUGAGUGUACACAAUAUCGUGAGAUACAAAAUGACAAUCGUGGCAUGAAAUAGUGUUAAUACAGAUCAAUAAUUAAGAAAUCAUAGUGUGGUAUUUUCUCAAAAUUUCCUAUAGUAUCAAUUCUUCUAACUCUUCAAUUUUACAA
rnacentral:misc_RNA from 1 species